UUAGACAGCUGGCGGCAUGCUUUACACAUGCAAGUCGAACGGCAGCGCGGGCUUCGGCCUGGCGGCGAGUGGCGAACGGGUGAGUAAUGCAUCGGAACGUGCCCAGUAGUGGGGGAUAGCCCGGCGAAAGCCGGAUUAAUACCGCAUACGACCUGAGGGUGAAAGCGGGGGACCGAAAGGCCUCGCGCUAUUGGAGCGGCCGAUGUCGGAUUAGCUAGUUGGUGGGGUAAAGGCUUACCAAGGCGACGAUCCGUAGCUGGUCUGAGAGGACGACCAGCCACACUGGGACUGAGACAUGGCCCAGACUCCUACGGGAGGCAGCAGUGGGGAGUUUUGGACAAUGGGGGCAACCCUGAUCCAGCCAUGCCGCGUGCGGGAAGAAGGCCUUCGGGUUGUAAACCGCUUUUGUUCGGGAAGAAAUCCUCUGGGCUAAUACCCCGGGGGGAUGACGGUACCGGAAGAAUAAGCACCGGCUAACUACGUGCCAGCAGCCGCGGUAAUACGUAGGGUGCGAGCGUUAAUCGGAAUUACUGGGCGUAAAGCGUGCGCAGGCGGUUGUGCAAGACAGAUGUGAAAUCCCCGGGCUUAACCUGGGAACUGCAUUUGUGACUGCACGGCUAGAGUGCGGCAGAGGGGAGUGGAAUUCCGCGUGUAGCAGUGAAAUGCGUAGAUAUGCGGAGGAACACCGAUGGCGAAGGCAGCUCCCUGGGCCUGCACUGACGCUCAUGCACGAAAGCGUGGGGAGCAAACAGGAUUAGAUACCCUGGUAGUCCACGCCCUAAACGAUGUCAACUGGUUGUUGGUCCUUCACUGGAUCAGUAACGUAGCUAACGCGUGAAGUUGACCGCCUGGG
rnacentral:rRNA from 1 species